UANUNCNAGCGAAACUGCGAAUGGCUCAUUAUAUAAGUUAUCGUUUAUUUGAUAGUACCUUACUACAUGGAUAACCGUGGUAAUUCUAGAGCUAAUACAUGCUGAAAAUCCCGACUUCGGAAGGGAUGUAUUUAUUAGAUUCAAAACCAAUGCCCUUCGGGGCUCCAAUGGUGAUUCAUGAUAACUUCUCGAAUCGCACGGCCCCGCGCCGGCGAUGGUUCAUUCAAAUUUCUUCCCUAUCAACUUUCGAUGCUACGGAAGUGUCCUAGCAUGGNUGCCACGGGNAACGGGGAAUAAUAAA
rnacentral:rRNA from 1 species